rnacentral:rRNA from 1 species
CCUACGGGAGGCAGCAGUGAGGAAUAUUGGACAAUGGAGGCAACUCUGAUCCAGCCAUGCCGCGUGCAGGAAGACGGCCCUACGGGUUGUAAACUGCUUUUAUACAGGAAGAAUUAUACCUACGUGUAGGUAUUUGACGGUACUGUAAGAAUAAGGAUCGGCUAACUCCGUGCCAGCAGCCGCGGUAAUACGGAGGAUCCAAGCGUUAUCCGGAAUUAUUGGGUUUAAAGGGUCCGUAGGCGGUUUUUUAAGUCAGAGGUGAAAUCCUGCAGCUCAACUGUAGCAUUGCCUUUGAUACUGAAAGACUUGAGUUAUUGUGAAGUAGUUAGAAUGUGUAGUGUAGCGGUGAAAUGCAUAGAUAUUACACAGAAUACCGAUUGCGAAAGCAGAUUACUAACAAUAUACUGACGCUGAGGGACGAAAGCGUGGGUAGCGAACAGGAUUAGAUACCCUGGUAGUCCACGCCGUAAACGAUGGAUACUAGCUGUUCGAUCAACACUGGUUGAUUGAGUGGUUAAGCGAAAGUGAUAAGUAUCCCACCUGGGGAGUACGCUCGCAAGAGUGAAACUCAAAGGAAUUGACGG